rnacentral:tRNA from 1 species
UCCCUGGUGGCUCAGACGGUAAAGAACCUGCCUGCAAUGCAGGAGACCUGGGUUCAAUCCAGGUAGGGAA